UUUAAACAAAGAUUCAAAGUAUUACUCAGUUAUAAAAUAAAUUAAUUUUUAAUGAUAUAUGAUAUAAUAAAUUUCUCAGUCAUUCAGUUUUGAUAAUUGGUAACACAUAACCACAAAAUAAAAUUCAUUCAAUUGGAACACAACACAUUCUAAACCAUAUAUUAUUUUCUUUUUAGAAAAAUAGGCUACAAAGUGACUGACUUGUGUCAACAAAAAAUCCUGAAGCCACCAUUCAUAUUCUAACAUUUAAACGAGAACUCCAAGGAAAAUCAAUCUAUUGUCGAUAGAUGGAAAACUGAGAAUAUAUGUGCUUUUGAAAUUUUCGAUUUCGUCUCCCAUAUCUCUUGGGCCUGGGGUCGAACAUUUUUGGGAGGCCCUUUUUGAGUUUUUCAUCAAUUGGAUAUUUUUCUGGCCAUCUGAAAGGUAAUUCAAUGAUUUAUACAUAUUUUGAAACAAAUCCAUGAACACAGCCAUAACAAAAUUAAUAAUUUUUGUGAGAUUUGUUCGAAAUCGUUUACUCUCCGACGCGAGUUACACAUAAAAAAUUACAUGCGAAUCAUAAACGUUCCAUAUAAACUUGCCCGAAAUAUUCUUAAUAAUUAAAUUACAUUUUUAUAAGCUCAGUUGAAUCCCUUUGUGACAUUUGUGGAGAAAAUGUUAAAUGGAUACAAGAACACAUGAAAAUACAUCAAGAACUCGAAUUUAUGUGUCCAGAUUGUCCUGAAGUUUGUCAAACUUUAUUGUAUCUAUUGAUCUUGCCUUGUAAAAACUAGCAAAUUUCACAAUGUGUAGCGUAUUCUUUUUCACGAUGGAGGUAUCAUAC